rnacentral:rRNA from 1 species
ACGGAAGGCAGCAGUGGGGGAUAUUGCACAAUGGGCGAAAGCCUGAUGCAGCAACGCCGCGUGAGGGAAGACGGUUUUCGGAUUGUAAACCUCUGUCUUUGGUGAAGAAAGAAAUGACGGUAGCCGAGGAGGAAGCCACGGCUAACUACGUGCCAGCAGCCGCGGUAAUACGUAGGUGGCAAGCGUUGUCCGGAAUUACUGGGUGUAAAGGGAGCGCAGGCGGGACUGCAAGUUGGAUGUGAAAUACCGCAGCUUAACUGCGGAGCUGCAUCCAAAACUGUAGUUCUUGAGUGGAGUAGAGGUAGGCGGAAUUCCGAGUGUAGCGGUGAAAUGCGUAGAUAUUAGGAGGAACACCAGUGGCGAAGGCGGCUUACUGGACUGUAACUGACGUUGAGGCUCGAAAGCGUGGGGAGCAAACAGGAUUAGAUACCCUGGUA